CAGUAGCCGCGGGAAUACGGAGGGUGCAAGCGUUAAUCGGAAUUACUGGGCGUAAAGCGCACGCAGGCGGUCUGUCAAGUCAGAUGUGAAAUCCCCGGGCUUAACCUGGGAACUACAUUUGAAACUGGCAGGCUAGAGUCUUGUAGAGGGGGGUAGAAUUCCAGGUGUAGCGGUGAAAUGCGUAGAGAUCUGGAGGAAUACCGGUGGCGAAGGCGGCCCCCUGGACAAAGACUGACGCUCAGGUGCGAAAGCGUGGGGAGCAAACAGGAUUAGAGACCCCGGUAGUCCCUGUCUCUUAUAC
rnacentral:rRNA from 1 species